UCCCUGGAGGACUAGUGGUUAGACCUCAGUGCUCUCCCUGCCGCGGCCCGGGUUUGAUUCCUGGUCAAGGAA